CGUCAAACUCUCGGCCCGUGUAGGCACGGUCUGCCACCUCCUCGUUCUCCCCGAAGAUGCCAAUUCGUCGGCAGAUGGCAAUGGCUGUGCCCUUGUUGUCCCCAGUGAUCAUGAUCACUCGGAUCCCAGCAUCCCGGCACAGCUGGAUAGAGCCGGUGACCUCCUUGCGCGGGGGGUCCAACAUGCCUACCACACCGACGAACGUCAGGGUGUCAGUCCCCCACAAGUCAGGAGCCUGCGCCAGAACAGGCCUUGAGCAGCCUCGAGACAGUCUCACUAUGGAAAACUCGUCCUCCGAGCCCUGCAGUGUGUCGCAUGACAUCAAUUCCUGUUCUGGUGCACGUGCCUCACCGCGUCAAAGGCGGGUCCGUCUUGCUCUGUCACCCAGGCUGGAGUGCAGCGGCUCAAUCACAGCUCACUGCAACCUCAAACUCCUGGGCUCAAGCGAUUCGGCCUCCUGAGCGCUGGGACUACAGGCACGAGCCGCCGUGCCUGGCUCCCAGAUCACACUUACAGUAGCACUGGACUAGACAACUCCCAGGGUUCCUUCAAACUCUAACGUCCUGUGAUCCUAUGGCCUGUGCUAUGGACCCACUGAUUUGACUGACAAGCGGCCCGGGAAGAUUUGGCUGGGGAACAGUAGACAGACAUGGACUUUCUGUCUCGGGAGAACUCCAGGGUGAAUUCCUUCUUCAUGAGCUGACGGAUCACCUGGGAGAGAGAAGACACAGACAGGGAGACCAGGCCUUCUAAAAUAGUCAAAAAGGAUCUGGAGGUCAGAGUAGACUGCAAGCUGAGGCUGAGAAGAAAGAGAGAAUUUCAGGGCUGGUGUCUAGUCUAAAGCACAACACAAACAGGAUGGCCUCAUGUGGCAGCAUCCAGUAGGACUUUCAGUGAUGGUAGAAAUGUUCUCUAAUCCUCACUGUCCCACGUCGUGGAACCCAGCAAUCACUGUGGAGCCCUGGAGGUGUGGCCAGCGUGAUUGAAGAACUGAAUUAUUACCUUUUUUGAAUUUGAAUGAAUUUAAAUGUAAAUAACCACGUGUGGUGAUUGGACAGUGCAGGCCUUGUGCCUGGUGCUCGGUGAUAAAUAAGCACUUCAUAAAAAUCAAUGAAAGCGUUUUUUCACUGAAUGCAUCGUGUAUAUUUCUCCACAAAAUAAAACAAAAAUAACAAAAAGUUAAAACAAA